rnacentral:lncRNA from 1 species
GUUAACUGAAAGAGGGAUCUUGAAGACAAGUGAUUUGAGAAGGGUUAAAUACAAUUGA